AUGGCUUGGAAAACUUGGGCGCCACCAAAGGCUAAAUUCUUUGCUUGGUUGGCUAUCCAAGACAGAAUUUGGACUGCGAAUAGGCUACAAAAACAUGGAUGGCCAAAUUGUGGACUUUGCACCAUUUGCAAGCGUGAGCGAGAAAGCGGACCACGUCUCUUCUUCAAAUGUUGCCUCCCUAUUAGGCUAUGGAACUUGGUCAUUGUAAAAUUCGGGCUUCAUCAAAUGGACACCUCUAUGUGGCAUCUUGAAGGCUCGGUCAAGGACUGGUGGACAAAUAGGACCGGCGCCGGAGUCUCCAAUAGGAAGCCCAUGGCCUCUCUAAUCAUGCUCGUGUCAUGGACCAUUUGGAGCAAGCGGAAUGCCCGUGUUUUCCGGAACAAGAGCGCUCCACUACACAACCUUCUUCAUAUAGAUGUUGUUGCACCUCCAGGUGCAAAGGUUUGUAACACAGUAGCAAAUUUCCCUCAAAUGGAUGACCUAAGAUUUAUCAAUCUGUGGGAGGCGUAG
rnacentral:rRNA from 1 species